rnacentral:antisense_RNA from 1 species
GGAAUUGCUGAAGUUGUGAAGGUUGAUGCUGUGAAUGCGCUCGGUCAUCCCCUUGCAACUGAUGUCACCUGCAGCAUGUCAACGCAGACACAAAACAGGGCAUGGGUCAGAUCUAGCUGGUUGCAUUCCUAAUACCUAGGUUUCAGAGUAAAAAUAUAGAGUCAGCUUGUGAUGGCAUUCCCUCGAAACAUGGAAGGAAUUGCAGUAAUGAAAGUCAUCAUGUAUUCUAAGAGACUGUUCUGCGAGAGCACAACACAGACGGGGCUAAAGCAGGGUGAGAAGCAAAAGUGCUCAGGAGUUAAGAGAAGCAGACGUCCGAAAUUAUCUCCAUGCAUUACCAAAAACCGUGGGCACCACGGCACGGGGAAAACUUACCAGGUACAAUGAGCCAGUGACUGUUACUGAAUUUCUUAAGAUUACACUUUUCCCAACUACUGCAGACUGCUUCAGAAUAGAAGAAGACAACUCUCAUGCCAUCAAGCCGACGGACUUUCAAAAAAAUAAAAGAUGCAUUUCUUUACUUGUAAGUAUUUGUCUUU